UUUUUUUUUCAAAUUAUUUGAAUUUAUACUGGGGGACAUGUUUUGCCCUGUCUGUUGGUUUGUUUGUUUGUUGGCUUGUUUGCCAUAACUUUUGCAAUAUUGAAGAUAUCAACUUGAUAUUUGGCAUGCAUGUGUAUCUCAUGGAGCUGCACAUUUUGAGUGAUGAAAGGUCAAAGGUCAAAUAUACGGUUAAAAGCGCUCAUUAAAUAUACACUAUAACUUCGUUAGAACUUCUUUCACAUACUUAAUAUCUCAUAUGUAAUGUAUCUCAUACAGCUGAACGUUUGAAAUAGUGAAUUGGUAACUUCAAUGUCACCCAUCUAGGUCAAAGGUCAAGUUCUUCUACAAACUCAAAUACUUCAAAUUUAAUUACAGAACUUUCUGUGUCAUUAAUACUAUAAUAGGCAUGAUUUGUGUAUCUGAACUCCAUCACUAGUGUAUCUUUUAUCCCUAUUAUCAAGGCGUCUUUUAUAACAUUAUACCAUAAUAUCCACAGCCUGUUGGCAUUUAUUGUUUAUAAUGUAUGUGACUUUAAAAUUAACAAAUUUCUAAAUGUGAGCAAUUUUUAUGUCCAUAACUGGUGUAACUUUGAUGUCCAUAACCUAAGUGACAUAUUCUAAGUAACGGUAAUGUCCGUAAGUUGUGUGACUUAAUUGUUCAUAACCUAAGUGACUGUCAUGUCCAUAAAUUGUGUGACUUUAAUGUUAAUAAUCUAUUCUAAGUAACAGUAAUGUCCAUAAGUUGUCUGACUGUAAUGUCCGUAAGUUGUGUGACUUAAUUGUUCAUAACCUAAGUGACUGUCAUGUCCAUAAAUUGUUGUGUGAUUUUAAUGUUAAUAAUCUAUUCUAAGUAACAGUAAUGUCCGUAAGUUGUGUGACUGUAAUGUCCAUAAGUUGUGUGACUUAUUUGUUCAUAACCUAAGUGACUGUCAUGUCCAUAAAUUGUGUGACUGUAAUUUUAUUAAACUAAGUAACUGGCAUGUCCAUAACUUGUGUGACUUUAACAUCCAUAACCUAAGUGACUGUAAUGUCAUAAAUUGUGUGACUUUAAUGUUAAUAAUCUAUUCUAAGUAACGGUAAUGUCCAUAAGUUGUGUGACUGUAAUGUCCAUAAGUUGUGUGACUGUAAUGUCCGUAAGUUGUGUGACUUAAUUGUUCAUAACCUAAGUGACUGUCAUGUCCAUAAAUUGUGUGACUUUAAUGUUAAUAAUCUAUUCUAAGUAACGGUAAUGUCCGUAAGUUGUGUGACUUAAAUGUUAAUUAUUUAAGUGACUGUCAUGUCCAUAAGUUGUGUGACUAUUAAUGUAUGUAAGUUGUUUGACUGUAAUGUCUGGGGCAACAACUGCAUUUAGUUGUUGAGUUACUAGUUAAUUAAUUAUUAAGUACCCCAGGGCAUGUAUGGAUUUGUGUUUUAAAACUUGGUAUUGUAUUUUGAAACAAUGUUUAUUGGAAAUAGAGGGAUUUUUAUUUAUUUUGUCGCACUGCUUUACUUACAAAAAUGCCCAAUUUUUUAUGUGAAACAGCCUUUGAAAGAAAAAUAUAGCAAAAAUUAUUUAAUUUUAUUUCUGAUAAUGUAGUCAGUCCGUAGAUGUCCCUUGACCAAAUAAAUGGUCCGCUAUCUACUUUUGUAGCCUGUUGAACAGGUAUCUGACUUAAGUUCUUUGUCCUUUUCUAUUAAACCUGUAUAUCCAUUUUUUACUACUUUGAGCACGAAUAAGAUGAAUGUUUGUCCCCAGUUUAUAGGUCAAGGUCACAGUGGACACUUUAAAUUUGUGUAUAUUCCUUAAAUGGAUGUAGUAAAAUUAUAUGUUCCUGCACGGCUUUAUUUUGUUAUAUUUUGUUUUAUUUUUGAUAUUGUAGUCGGUCAGUAGAUGUCCCUUGACCAAAUAAAUGGUCCGCUAUCUACUGUUGUAGCCUGUUUGACAGGUAUCUGACUAAGUUUUGUUAACGCCCGUUUGAAAAAACGGACAUAUUAUGUGAUCACCCAUGGGUGGGCGGCUUCCAGAUCUCUGAGUAUAACUCUUAAAGUAUAAGAGCUUUUCACAUGAAAAUUCAUAUAUGGAUUGAUUUCAUUGAGAAGAAGUGCAGUGCACGAGAACCAUAACUCUAGCUUGCUUUAUUUCAGAAUUAUACCACAUUUUAAAUUUUCUUUUCUGAGUCAUAACUUCAUAACUAUAAGGCCAAUUAACAUCAAACUUGGAAUAAACGUAGGUUGUGGUGUAUAGAAGUGCAGCCCACAAGAAUCAUAACUUUAGAUUGCAUAAUUUUAGAAAUAUCCCCAUUAAUAAUUUUGUUGGUAUGCCUUUUUUCUUGGUUGCCUGUUUUUUAUGUCCCCAGUCUAUGCUGGGGGACAUAUUGUUUUUGCCCUGUCUGUUGGUUUGUUUGCACAAACUUUAACAUUGGCCAUAACUUUUGCAAUAUUGAAGAUAGCAACUUGAUAUUUGGCAUGUAUGUGUAUCUCAUAGAGAAUAUUUCAUUGAGUGUGACCUUCUUGGUGACCUUCAAAAAAAGACAAGCAUUGGGGCAUUACGACUCUUGUUUCAUAAAAAAAAAAAAUUUGUUCAAGGUAACUACAAUUAGUCCUCUACAACUUUCACAUUUUAUUUAGUUCAACAGUUCUAUCACAUUUUACAAGUUUUACAUAUUUUUGAGAAAAAAAGUAAAGCUGUGCUACUGUGGACAUUCAUUGUUUUACUCUUUUUUAUUAUUAAUUAAUGAUCUUUAAGAUUGGUAUCUUCAUUCCAUUUUGGACAUGGUCUGGUCAGUAUUAGUAUUAUACAUAUGAAUGUUAGAAGGUUCAUAUAUCUAUGUUUGCAAUUACAAGAUAAAAAUGCAGAUAAUAUUGCAGCCAAAUUGUGUUACAAUGUAUUACUAUCUGAUGUGUUGUGUGUCAUUGAAUAGCAUAAUCCAUGAGACAUCUUGCACCCAAGCUGAUCCAGGCAAAUGCUGGUCAUGCCCAAAGAAUUUUAUCUGCCAUUGAUUCUUAGAAGGUUUGUGCCCAGCACAUCAUCAGGCACAUUGAAUUUUUACCGUAAUGUAACAAUAAUACAUUGUUCUGGUUCUUACAUAGUUUCAAAUCGUGUAUUACUGUAUACAAAGUUCCCAUUUUAUGUCAUGGGCACAUGCAAGAUGCACAGAGAUGGCAAUAUUGAUAGUCCAGCAAUAUCAGUAGAUUUCUAUAUGAAAUGUAUAUAAACAGAAAUUUCAUUUUCUUUUAAUUUCAUCAUUUCUGGUCAUAUACCUAUCGUUCAUAUUUCAUUGGAAAGCUCUUGAAAUUCUUAAGAUGUCAUAAUUAAAAACUAAAAAUGAGGUUAAACAAACAGACCAUUUAUUGUUCAAUGUUCUUUUCAGUCAAAUUAUGGGAAAAAAAUCAUAUAGUGUAACUUUUAUGCUUAUAAUUUUCUGUAGACAAUAUUAUAUUGUAAAAUAUAUUUAUAUCUAAAAUGCAAAAUGAAUAACAGUUAAAAUGAUACCAUUUUGAGCUCACCUGAGCACGAAGCUUUUAGGAUCACCUUACGUCCGUUGUCCGUGGUGUGUCAACCUGCUUCAAAUGACAUCGCCUAAACUAUGCCAAUUUUGAUAAAACUUUACAAGAAUGAUCAUUGGGUGACCCUAUACUAAAAUUGCUUUAUUUGUUCUGCUUUUGUUGCACAAGAUGACUAUCAUUACUAAAAAUAAAAAAAAUCUUUAAGUGGCAUAUUCUUUUAAACCACUACGCCAAAUUUGCCAAAUAAGUUUACAGAAGUGAUCCUUGGGUUAUCCUUGACAAAAUUGAUUAAAUCAUUUCUUUAUGAUGCAAGAGAUGGCAGUUGUCGCUAGAACAUUAUUGGAUAUUUUGACAUGAACUAGUACACUAAUUGUUCAGGUGAGUGUCUAAGGGCCAUCGGGCCAUCUUGUUAAUAUACCCUCUCAGAGCUGUUAACAAUAUUUUUUAUAUUUAGUUAAAAAAUAACAGAAGCUAUUAACAUUUUCCCCCACUGUAAUUGUAAACUAUCAAAAUGGCUGCCAGAUUAUUGUAAAUAAGAACAAUAUAACUCUUAUCAGAUAGAAAAAUUGGUGCUUUGAAAACUAUAUUGAUAUUUUAUCUGUUUCUAUGUAUAGACGGCUUUGUAAAUUUCAUACAAUGAGUAGUUGGUUUCCUAUUGAACUAUUACGCCAUUUUGGCAUAGAACGUAACCAAAGAAUAUGUACUUUGUGAAGUUGUUUAGGUGAUGAGUUUCAGUACUGUUUCAGUCACUUUAAAUCUACACGUAAAAAAAUAUUUAUAAAUAUUUUAGAAUUCAUCCUCUUAUAAAAUGGAAAAGUUAAUGAAUACGUAAUAUACAUCUGUACUUUUUCAAGUUAGUAUUAUUUUGUAAAAUUGUUAUGAAUAAUUUUAUUCAUUAUAAAUCAUGUCAUGGAUUUUUAAUUACAUGUAAAUCUUAGUAUUGUGCUAUAGUCAUAAUUCUUUUAACUACAUUGUGAAAGUGUGACCUAGUGCUACUUUGACAUAAUAUAAUUGUUGUAAUAUCCUAAAAUCUGUUGUAAGUUUUGUUGCUUGUUAAUACAGUUCUACCGGUACUUGUUCUUGAGUUCAUAUUACUUUAGAAAUUAAUUAUGUUAGAUGUAUGUGUUUACAUCACACACAAUUGUGAUUCUACUGUAUAAUUAUAUAAGUAAAUAUGUCCAAUCUAGAAUCUGUUUUAUACUGAGCUUUCAUAUUUGGUAUGUAGCAUUAUCUAGAGGUCCGCUACCAAAGUUGUUCAAAUUGUUCCUCUGGGGUCAAAAUUGACUCCGCCCUGGGGGUCACAAUUUUACAUUGAAUUAUAUAAGGAAAACUUUAAAUGACUUGAACUGCUAAUGGGAUUUUGACCAAACUCAACAGAAAUGGUCCCUGGGUAGUCCUCUACCAAAAUUGUUCAAAUGGUUCUGAUUGGUUGCAUAAGUACACAUUGUCAAAAAAAAAAGGUUUUUAAAAUGCAACUUUCAAAAAUCUUCUUGUCUGAAACUACAAGACCCAGAGCUUUCAUAUUUGGUAUAUAGCAUCCUCUAGAAGUCCUCUUCCAAAUUUGGUUUAAGUUAUGCCCCUAGGGUUAAAAUUGACCCCGCACCGGGGGUCACAAUUUUACAUUGAAUUAUAUAAGGAAAACUUUAAAUGACUUCUUAUCUUGAACCGUUAAUGGGAAUUUGAACAAACUCAACAUUAACGGUCCCCUUACCACAAUUGUUCAAAUGGUUCUGAUUGGUUGCAUAAGUAGGUCAAGGGGUAAAAAAAUAGGUUUUCUAAAUGCAAUUUUCAAAAAUCUUCUUGUCUGAAACUACAAGUCCUAGAGCUUUCAUAUUAAUUUCAUGUAUAACAUCAUCUAGAGGUCCUCUACCAGUAUUUGGUGGACAACAUUAGUGGUCCUCUGUAAAUGGCUCCAUUGUGACCUUUGACCUUUUCCUAAGGUGAGCGACCCAGGGCCCUUUGGGCCCUCUUGUUAUUUUUCAUUAAAGGGACUCUCUCAGACACGUGUAAUUUGGGAGUAAAUAAACGUUAAAAAUUUGAUAUUCAACUUCCUCGUCACUAUACCAAAGACCGCUUUCAUUUUCCUUACUUAUAAGUUACUAAAACCCCAUGUUUUUGUUGCUUGGUGUGAAGUGAGCCUUUGCGCCAGUCUGUUCAACGUUGGGAAAGCCGGUUUAUAAAUAAACUGAGGAAUUCUUUUUCGCGCUAAGCUAUCACGUGACGUCUAAAAAUAAACACUACACAGCAACAUAGUAGCAAAGGGAAAUAAUCGUGCGCUUAGUUUGGGUGGAAUUCUGAACAUUUGAUGUAGAAAAUGCGAGUAUUUUUUAUUUUCCUUACCAAAUUGACCAAGAUUCAAUAAAUAUUAAUGUCUUCUCUAUUUGUUUUUGUCAUCGCUCGACCCAUUUUCGUCUAACGCAAAUAAUGUAUGCGACCAUGCACAUGUUCAGUAAACGUUUCCGAAGACCCACGUGACGAUGGUAUCUAAAAACACCACCUCUUAUUCUAAGUUAAGAUCGUUGUUUACAAAAUAAACCCGUUUAAACGGUCUUACAUAUCUGCGAUUUAAAUGUUAAUUUUCUUCUCUGUACAAAUAUGAGCAAGUUUGGAAAGCUGUCAAUAAUCUAGUUCUGUGUUACUUUAGAAAUGUAUGUUGUCGUGUUUAUGGUAGAAGACAAUUUAUUUACAAAAAGUUAAAAUCUCGAUCUCUGAGAGAGUCUCUUUAACGAAAAACCGGAGAACAGUAGUAAAAAUUAUUUAAAAUUUUGAGAAAAAGGCAUUCAUCGUUACCCCAAACCUUUAUUAUUAUCAGCCAUGUUUUUUUCAUAUCAGGGAUGGUCUAAAACCCGUGGUGUCUGGAACUGUAUAUGUUCUGAUUUUUUUACAAAUAAUGUUUUUUUGGGGGGGGCAGGUGGUUUUGGACAGGGGCGGGCGUGGAUGAGAAUCUAAAAUAUUUUUUUCUAUUGCCUAACUGUAAAAUAACAUAUCUUGAAAAAUAAAAUCCUGCAAAUACUUUCUACCUGUUGUUCUGUUACAUGUGUGUUGAACAUUUCUGUGACUUGUUAAAAUCCUAUGGACAAAUUUCUAGUCUAAAUUAGCUUCUCAAUUUAAAUAACUUGUUCCUUCAAAAUAGUGCAUGGUUUGAUAUUGUACUAUUUAAAAUUUGAAUUAAUAUUAUCUCUAGUCCUGGCAAGUCUAUGUUCUUUAAGUAAAUUGAAAUUUAAAGGUUUAUUCAUUUAAACAUUUUGCAAUGAUUUCUGUUAGUUCACAUCUUGUUAAAAUGUUUUAUACAUGCAUAGUUUAUGCCUUGGUUAAAUAAAAUCUGAAAUCUGUUGUGGGAAGUAUCAUACUAUGUAUUCGUGUUUCUGUUUGUAAAACGUUUAAUAAAACUAUUUAACAUAUA